UACGUAGGGGGCAAGCGUUGUCCGGAAUCAUUGGGCGUAAAGAGCGUGUAGGCGGUCCGGUAAGUCGGCUGUGAAAGUCCAGGGCUCAACCCUGGGAUGCCGGUCGAUACUGCCGGACUAGAGUUCGGAAGAGGCGAGUGGAAUUCCCGGUGUAGCGGUGAAAUGCGCAGAUAUCGGGAAGAACACCUAUGGCGAAGGCAGCUCGCUGGGACGUUACUGACGCUGAGACGCGAAAGCGUGGGGAGCAAACAGG
rnacentral:rRNA from 1 species